CGUUGUAUAAUCCGAAGACGUGAUGUGGAGCGAAAUAAAGUAGCAAAGCGUGUGAGCCAUGUGCCGAGAAAAGCUGCUAUUGUGUAAUGCGUGCCCGUACCGUAAACCGACACAGGUGGAUGAGGAGAGAAUCCUAAGGCCGACGGAAGAAGCAUUGUUAAGGAAUUCGGCAAAAUGACCCCGUAACUUCGGGAGAAGGGGUGCCUGCGAGAGCAGGCCGCAGAGAAUAGGCUCAAGCAACUGUUUAGCAAAAACACAGGUCUAUGCGAAACCGAAAGGUGAAGUAUAUGGGCUGACGCCUGCCCGGUGCUGGAAGGUUAAGAGGAGAGGUUAGCGUAAGCGAAGCUUUGAAUUUAAGCCCCAGUAAACGGCGGCCGUAACGAUAACGGUCCUAAGGUAGCGAAAUUCCUUGUCGGGUAAGUUCCGACCCGCACGAAAGGCGUAAUGAUUUGAGCACUGUCUCGACAAUGCAUCCGGUGAAAUUGAAGUACCAGUGAAGAUGCUGGUUACCCGCGCCAGGACGGAAAGACCCCAUGGAGCUUUACUCCAGUUUGAUACUGGGAUUCGGUACUGCAUGUACAGGAUAGGUGGGAGACGAAGAAGGAUGGACGCCAGUCUGUCCGGAGUCGCUGUUGGGAUACCACCCCUGUAGUACUGGGUUUCUAACCAGUUGCCAUGAACUGGCAAUGGGACAAUGUCAGGCGGGGAGUUUGACUGGGGCGGUCGCCUCCGAAAGGGUAUCGGAGGCGCUCAAAGGUUCCCUCAGAAUGGUUGGAAACCAUUUGAAGAGUGCAAAGGCAGAAGGGAGCUUGACUGCGACACCGACGGGUGGAGCAGGUACGAAAGUAGGACUUAGUGAUCCGGUGGUAUAAAGUGGGAUUGCCAUCGCUCAACGGAUAAAAGCUACCCUGGAUAACAGGCUUAUCACUCCCAAGAGUUCACAUCGACGGAGUGGUUUGGCACCUCGAUGUCGGCUCAUCGCAUCCUGGGGCUGUAGCAGGUCCCAAGGGUUGGGCUGUUCGCCCAUUAAAGCGGUACGCGAGCUGGGUUCAGAACGUCGUGAGACAGUUCGGUCCCUAUCCGGCGCGGGCGGAGGAUAUUUGAGAGGAGCUGUCCUUAGUACGAGAGGACCGGGAUGGACGGACCACUGGUGUAUCUGUUGUCGACCAACGGCAUGGCAGAGUAGCCAAGUCUGGAAGGGAUGAACGCUGAAGGCAUCUAAGCGUGAAGCCCCCCUCAAGAUGAGAUAUCCCUCCUAAA
rnacentral:rRNA from 1 species